GAAGGGAUAGCUCAGCUGGUAGAGCAGUAAAAUGCAUCUUGUGUAAAGAUGCUAACAGCAAUCCUUCCACUUCUAAUGGACAUGUCGGGGGUUCGACUCCCCCUCCCUUCA
rnacentral:tRNA from 1 species